AACGAACGCUGGCGGCGCGCCUAAUACAUGCAAGUCGAGCGAGAAGACGUAGCAAUACGUUUGUAAAGCGGCGAACGGGUGAGGAAUACAUGGGUAACCUACCCUCGAGUGGGGAAUAACUAGCCGAAAGGUUAGCUAAUACCGCGUACGCUCCUUGGACUUCGGUUCAGGGAGAAAGCGAUACCGUGGGUAUCGCGCUCUUGGAUGGGCUCAUGUCCUAUCAGCUUGUUGGUGAGGACGGCUCACCAAGGCUUCGACGGGUAGCUGGUCUGAGAGGACGAUCAGCCACACUGGCACUGCGACACGGGCCAGACUCCUACGGGAGCAGCAGUAGGAUAUUGCGCAAUGGGCAAAGCCCUAGACGCAGCGACGCCGCGUGGGGGAUGAAGGUC
rnacentral:rRNA from 1 species